UACAGAGGGGGCUAGCGUUGUUCGGAAUUACUGGGCGUAAAGGGCGCGUAGGCGGCCCGCUAAGUCGAACGUGAAAUCCCCGGGCUCAACCCGGGAACUGCGUCCGAUACUGGCAGGCUUGAAUCCGGGAGAGGGAUGUGGAAUUCCAGGUGUAGCGGUGAAAUGCGUAGAUAUCUGGAGGAACACCGGUGGCGAAGGCGGCAUCCUGGACCGGCAUUGACGCUGAGGCGCGAAAGCCAGGGGAGCAAUCGGG
rnacentral:rRNA from 1 species